GUGGGGAAUAUUGGACAAUGGGCGAAAGCCUGAUCCAGCCAUGCCGCGUGUGUGAAGAAGGUCUUCGGAUUGUAAAGCACUUUAAGUUGGGAGGAAGGGCAGUAAGUUAAUACCUUGCUGUUUUGACGUUACCGACAGAAUAAGCACCGGCUAACUUCGUGCCAGCAGCCGCGGUAAUACGAAGGGUGCAAGCGUUAAUCGGAAUUACUGGGCGUAAAGCGCGCGUAGGUGGUUUUGUAAGUUGGAGGUGAAAUCCCCGGGCUCAACCUGGGAACUGCCUCCAAAACUGCAUGACUAGAGUACGGUAGAGGGUAGUGGAAUUUCCUGUGUAGCGGUGAAAUGCGUUGAUAUAGGAAGGAACACCAGUGGCGAAGGCGACUACCUGGACUGAUACUGACACUGAGGUGCGAAAGCGUGGGGAGCAAACAGGAUUAGAUACCCGAGUAGUCC
rnacentral:rRNA from 1 species